UUUUUUUUUUUUGGUAGGAAUAUCGUUUCUAUAUUAUGAAAGAAAAAUACAAAAAUUUAGCACAUCCAAGUUUCGAUUAAUUGGUUCCUUACGUGGCUUUUGUUCAUGAGCGAAUAGUUACAGACUUAUGAAAAUAAAAACUAGCAUUUCCUUCUCUAUGUUAUUGCUGCUAUUUGUCUUCCUCUAAAUCUGACCAAAAUUCCCAUCUCUACCUUACGCUUCUCUUUCCUCUCCCACCAAUGUCACUUUCCCGGGCAAAAAAGACCAAUAGCAUGCAGAGGUCUGAUUAAUUGCGACGCAUUACUAGCUACCCCACUUUCUUUAGCUACUUUCUCUGUUGAAGCCAAUUUGUGAACAUUUCAAGGGUCUUCAUGUCGGCUCUGUAAUGCUUCUGUGUAAAUUCAAGAAGCGUGGCCCAUUUAAAAUCAGGAUAUAUUCUUGGGUUGCAACUGUCCACCAGUUCGGUUGGAGGAGUUACCAUCUUAUCACUCUUUGGACUCAGAAAAAAAGCCAGAGAUUUCCUUGGUGUCUCACUGUUCACCACGGCUCUAUGCAGGCAACUCUUGUAUCUCCCAUUACAAAGAGCCUGAUAAAACAAGGAAACAAAGAAAGCCCACUAUCAGAAACAUUAACAUUUGUCCAAAUUUUAACCUUCUCGAUUUCCUGAAAUUAAAUUAUCACCUUGUUAUUAUUGUUUACCAACACAUCAUCAUAUCAUAUGAGUAUGAGUAGGCGUUCCAUAUGAAGCUAAAAAACAACUUACCAUGAAGGUGUCGCCAAUGUUAACGACAAAGGCUUCGAAAUUUGGGCUAAUUGAACGCCAUUCAUUGUCUACGAAAACUUGAAGACCGCCCACUCGGUCUUGAUGAAGGAUUGUUAAUGAUGUUGGAUCGCAAUGAGGCCCAGUUCCUAAUGUCAGGUCAGGUUUUUGGCAUGGAGGAUAGUAGUUAAGCCUCAUUAUGGAAUCAUUAUCUUCGAAAAAUUCCCUGAAAUGGGCUUUGCUCACUCCUAGGCUCAUUCCAAGGAGUUCCAUGAUUCCCAGUGACAGAGUGCUCAUAGACUCGCAAUAGUCUUGGUACACCUUCCCCAAUUCUGCGAAACUUUCACCCAUUGUCUUAUGGAAAUAGUCUUGGACGAGUUUUGCUGAGUUUUCCUCGGCAGAAUAGCUAAAAGAAAGCGUUUCUUUCCAAGGAAGCUUAGAGCAAAACCUGCCAGUGAAGCUACUGGCAUAUCCACAGUGCUCUCCAAUUUUCCUCUGAGCUCUUUGCUUCUCUGAGAGUGGCAAUUCAAAGAAGUUGUCCAUGUAGCGAUGGGCAUCGGCUAUGAGCUGUCGAUCGACUCCGUGAUUAACAACGAGAAAGAAACCGUGCUUCUGGCAUGCCUCGCCUACUAGCUUUGAAGCCUCCAUUGCGGCAACAGGGUCACCAGAGAGGAACCCACCCAUGUCAAUAAGAGGAACAGGGAGUUCUGGUGCAUUAACGUUAGGCUUUUCAUGGUCUGGCCAAAUGAACUGUUGGGGUAUGCUGGAUUGGUAACUAAGCACUCUGGCAUCAAAAACUAUAGGUUUCUGAUCAUCUUUGCAUUCUUCUUUAGGAUGGUGUUGAGGUAUUGAUGGCAUGGCUUUGAUGCAGUCUAUUGCCAUUGCAUUACAAUUAUUAAUUUGCAGUAAAUGAUAUGGAAAUUGAGAGAAGGAAAGGUUAAUUAGUUAUGGGAUAGAGGAGUAUGAAGAAGAAAAGGAGGGAGAGAAAUAAGUUUAUGUGAGAGUGAGCUAAGCGUGUUGUGCUAAAAGAAAAGCCAAGACCGCUCUCAUCGGGCAGAUCGGUGAACAAAAAUUGGAAUCUUAUAGCUCCCUCUCUGGGGUUCGCGUUUCUCUUGUUCUGUUUUUGCAAGGGAGGGCUUCCCAAGAGAGAGCUUUGCAGUUUGAGGUGCUUCUCUAU
rnacentral:misc_RNA from 1 species